UUCUCCUUCUCCAAUUGUUGUAGUGACUCGGUGGUGAGAGUCUCGUUCAUUGCUUGUUCCUUCAUAAUAUCUCCCUGGUUCACUAGGGGAAUUGAAUAUCUCAUGACGCGAUUCAUUCACGAACUCCUUUACGCAUUUCUUAUUAUUGUCCACCAUGUGGACCACAUAUUAACAGCUGGUUGAAAACUAAUGAUAAACUGAGUAAUUCUAAUCGCUACUAUACUUAUCGUGAUAAAAGGAUAUUCUAUUGUGACAAC
rnacentral:lncRNA from 1 species